rfam:Ochrobactrum intermedium 229E Contig369, whole genome shotgun sequence.
GGGGGGGUGGAGCAGCCCGGUAGCUCGUCAGGCUCAUAACCUGAAGGCCGCAGGUUCAAAUCCUGCCCCCGCAA